rnacentral:rRNA from 1 species
GACGAACGCUGGCGGCGUGCUUAACACAUGCAAGUCGAACGGAAAGGCCCUGCUUUUGUGGGGUGCUCGAGUGGCGAACGGGUGAGUAACACGUGAGUAACCUGCCCUUGACUUUGUGAUAACUUCAGGAAACUGGGGCUAAUACCGGAUAGGAGCUCCUGCUGCAUGGUGGGGGUUGGAAAGUUUCGGCGGUUGGGGAUGGACUCGCGGCUUAUGAGCUUGUUGGUGGGGUAGGUGCUUACCAAGGCUUUGACGGGUAGCCGGCCUGAGAGGGUGACCGGCGACAUUGGGACUGAGAGACGGCCCAGACUCCUACGGGAGGCAGCAGUGGGGAAUAUUGCACAAUGGGGGCAAGCCUGAGGCAGCAGCCCCGCGUGCGGGAUGACGGCCUUCGGGUUGUAAACCGCUUUGGCCUGUGACGAAGAGUGAGUGACGGUAAUGGGUAAAGAAGCACCGGCUAACUACGUG